rnacentral:rRNA from 1 species
GACGAACGCUGGCGGCGUGCUUAACACAUGCAAGUCGAGCGAGACCUCUUCUUCGGGAGGGUGUUCUAGCGGCGAACGGGUGAGUAACACGUGGGCAACCUGCCCUCAGCUCUGGGAUAACUCCAAGAAAUUGGGGCGUAAUACCGGAUAUGACUGCUGACCGCAUGGUCUGGUGGUGGAAAGAUUUAUCGGCUGGGAGUGG